UAUAAAUACUACCAGAGACAUAUAUACACAGAGAUUGGCAACUGUAACAGUGGUCAGCGAAAUCUAAUCCAAACAUCGCAUCACGCGAGACUUUAACGAGAUCGCCAUUUUUAUUCUAUCACGACAAGUACACCACCUCGCUUCGAUUUUUAUUUUACAUCAAGCAUUUCAAAACAGCAUAAUGUAAGUACAUAUUUCAAUUUCGUAUAUGAAUUACCUUGUUUUAUUCAGUUUGUAGUAGUUAUUAGUUAAAAUAUUGCGACGAUUAACGUUUAAUUGCAGUAUAUAAUAAAGGAAGCUUGGCCGACAUGCACGUUAUGAAAUUUUUUUAACCCCUGUCUGUUUUACACUUUAUAAACUUUUCCGUCUUCCAGAGAAAUAUUGUACCCAGCACAUGCAUUACUUUCCUAUGACAAACUGGAUUGGUAUAUAUAGGUUGUUUUAUUCAUAUUUUCAACCACUUUGAUGCAAUUUACAAUUAAAAAUCAGUAUUAUAGCGGCCAUGUUUUUUUUUUUGCUUCAAUAUCAAGACAGGCCCUGUCUGUUUACACUUAUAAACUUUUCCGUCUUCAGAGAAUUAUUGUACCCAGCACAUGCAUUACUUUCUAUGACAUACUGGAUUGGUAUAUAGAGGUUUUUUUUUUUCAUAUUUUCAACCACUUUGAUGCAAUUUACAAUUAAAAAUCAGUAUUAUAGCGGCCAUGUUUGUUUUUUUUUUUGCUUCAAUAUCAAGACAGGCCCCUGUCUGUUUACACUUUAUAAACUUUUCCGUCUUCAGAGAAUUAUUGUACCCAGCACAUGCAUUACUUUCCUAUGACAUACUGGAUUGGUAUAUAGAGGUUGUUUUUUUUUCAUAUUUUCAACCACUUUGAUGAAAUUUACAAUUAAAAAUCAGUAUUAUAGCGGCCAUGUUUUUUUUUUUGCUUCAAUAUCAAGACAGACCCCUGUCUGUUUACACUUUAUAAACUUUUCCGUCUUCAGAGAAUUAUUGUACCCAGCACAUGCAUUACUUUCCUAUGACAUACUGUACCCAGCACAUGCAUUACUUUCCUAUGACAUACUGGAUUGGUAUAUAGAGGUUGUUUUUUUUCAUAUUUUCAACCACUUUGAUGCAAUUUACAGUUAAAAAUCAGUAUUAAAGCUGUAGGCCAUGGUGUUUUGCUUCAAUAUCAAGACAGACCCCUGUCUGUUUACACUUUAUAAACUUUUCCAUCUUCAGAGAAUUAUUGUACCCAGUACUUGCAUUACUUUCCUAUGACAUACUGGAUUUGUGUAUAUAGGUUUUUUUUCAGAUUUUCAACCACUUUGAUGCAAUUUACAAUUAAAAAUCAGUACUCAAGCUGUCGGUCAUGUUAAUUUUCUUCAAUAUAAAGACAGACCCCUGUCCAUGGCUACAGGUUAUACACUUGUCCAUCUUUAGAGAAAAAUUGUAACCAUCACAUGAUUUAAUUUCACAAGACAUACUAAUACUGGAUUUGGGUAUAAAAAAAAUUGUUUUUUUCAUUAUUUCCCACUUUGAUGACAUUUACAAUUUUAUAUAUAUAUUUACAUUCAGUAUCUGACAGCUUUUUUUUAACAGGAUCCUGCACGUUAUAAAAGAACAAAGAUGUUGAUCAAAUUUACCUAACAGUGCAGCAUACAAGAGAUAAAAUAUCAUACAUGUGCUGAAUGUAGGACUCCCAAGUCUUUCUGAUUGAAAUUAAGAAUCCCUGGCAAACAGGAACAACUAUUAGUGAUGACUUUAUCCGAAUGUGACGGCACUGUCAUGUAGUGGACUGAUUACUACUAUCAAUGUGAUACUUAACAAUGGUUUUGUAAGAGAGAAAAUUACAUGUGCUUAUCCUGACUGUAAAAACAC
rnacentral:lncRNA from 1 species